GAUGAACGCUAGCGGGAGGCCUAAUACAUGCAAGUCGAGCGGUAAGUUUCUUCGGAAACCUAGAGCGGCGCACGGGUGAGUAACGCGUACAUGACCUACCUUUAAGACUGGGAUAGCCCUGGGAAACUGGGAUUAAUACCGGAUGUGAUAAUACGUAUAAAGAUGUAUUAUUAAAGCUGAGGCGCUUAGAGAUGGGUGUGCGUCUGAUUAGCUAGUUGGUAGGGUAACGGCCUACCAAGGCGACGAUCAGUAGGGGGCGUGAGAGCGUGGCCCCCCACACGGGUACUGAGACACGGACCCGACUCCUACGGGAGGCAGCAGUAAGGAAUAUUGGUCAAUGGAGGAAACUCUGAACCAGCCAUCCCGCGUGCAGGAUUAAGGUCCUAUGGAUUGUAAACUGCUUUUGGUAGGGAAGAAACGCCUUCAUUUAUGAGGGUCUGACGGUACCUACAGAAUAAGCACCGGCUAACUCCGUGCCAGCAGCCGCGGUAACAC
rnacentral:rRNA from 1 species